AGUGAACGCUGGCGGUAGGCCUAACACAUGCAAGUCGAACGGCCGCACAGUAAGAGCUUGCUCUUACGGGUAGCGAGUGGCGGACGGGUGAGGAAUACAUCGGAAUCUACUUUUUCGCGGGGGAUAACGUAGGGCCACUUACGCUAAUACCGCAUACGACCUACCGGUGAAAGCAGGGGAUCUUCGUACCUUGCGCGAUUGAAUGCGCCGAUGUCGGAUUAGCUAGUUGGCUGGGUAACGGCCCACCAAGGCGACGAUCCGUAGCUGGUCUGAGAGGAUGAUCAGCCACACUGGAACUGAGACACGGUCCAGACUCCUACGGGAGGCAGCAGUGGGGAAUAUUGGACAAUGGGCGCAAGCCUGAUCCAGCCAUACCGCGUGGGUGAAGAAGGCCUUCGGGUUGUAAAGCCCUUUUGUUGGGAAAGAAAAGCAGCAGGUUAAUACCCCGCUGUUCUGACGGUACCCAAAGAAUAAGCACCGGCUAACUUCGUG
rnacentral:rRNA from 1 species